rnacentral:lncRNA from 1 species
CAGACGAGUACCCAGCUCAUCGUGAAACCUAUUCCAAAACCUGGAAGUAAACCGCACGUCUCUGUCUGAAAUUACCGAAACUGGCACUCCGUGUCGCGCCACCACCUCCCUGAUAUAGAUAUCGGCCUAUUUCUCGGCCGAGAUGAUCUCCUGAAUCGGAAUAAAGUGGGCGCUCUUGGUCAAUCGAUCCACGAUGACCCAUGUCGAAUCCAUCCCCCGCGCGGUCUUGGGAAGCUUCGUGAUAAAAUCCAUCAUAAUAUCCUCCCAUUUCCACAACGGGAUAUCCAACAGCUGCAUCUUGCCGUGAGGUCUCUGAUGCUCGGCCUUGACCUUCCUGCAGGUCAAGCACCGCUCCACGUACCAUGCCACAUCCAGCUUCAUGUAGGGCCACCAAUAGUCUAGACGAAGAUCCCUAUACAUCUUCGUCACCCCGGGAUGAAUGGAGAAUCGGGACUUGUGGGCCUCCUCCAUCAGGACCUGGCACACUCCUCCAUGAUAAGGGACCCACACCCUACGGUGAAGAGUCAAUAACCCUCGGCUACCAUAGUCGAANNNNNNNNNNNNNCCGAUGUUCCCUUCAUAGCCUCCUGCUGAGCCUCCCGGAUCCACUCCAGAAGCGGAGUCAACACUGUCAUCCUUAGAUAGAUAUCCCUGAUCGGUGCUGCCUUGCAGCUAAGCACAUCGGCCACGACAUUGGCAUUCCUUGGAUGGUAGAGGAUCUCACAAUCAUAGUCCUUCACCACAUCAAGCCACCGAUGCUGCCUCACAUUCAGAUUUGGAUUGUCCAUGAGAUACCUCAAACUCUUUUGGUCCGUGUAAAUCGUACAACGAACCCCAUAGAGGUAAUGACGCCAAAUCUUGAGGGCGAACACCACAGGCCCCAACUCCAAAUCAUGUGUCGGGUAGUUCGCCUCGUGAGGCUUCAGCUGCCUCGACGCGUAGGCGAUGACAUGCCCUCUCUGCAUCAAUACCGCGCCCAAUCCUGCAAUGGGUGCAUCGCAGUACAGAACAAAAUCCUCCGUGCCCUCUCGCAGGGCCAAAAUUGGUGCCUCGCACAAUCUCUGUCUCAUCAUCUCUAAUGCGGCCUGCUGCUCAGACCCCAGCGAUACACCACCGACUUCUUAGUCAGUCGGGUGAGCGGGACUGCUAUCUUGGAGAAGUCCUAAAUGAAUCUCCGAUAGUAGCCUGCCAAUCCUAGAAAGCUCCAAAUCUCAGAUGGAGACCUCGAAACCUCCCAAUUCAUCACGGCCUCUACCUUGGCCGGAUCUAUUGAAAUCCCGUUCUGGUUGACAAGGUGCCCAAGAAACUGCACCUCGCGCAACAAGAACUCACACUUGGAGAACUUAGCAUACAAGUUCUCCCUCCUCAAAGUCUUUAGAACCUCCUGCAGAUGCUUCUCAUGCUGCUCCUGCGUCUUGGAAUAAACCAGGAUGUCAUCAAUAAACACUAUCACAGACCAAUCUAACAUCGGUCUACACACGCGGCUCAUGAGAUCCAUGAACGCAGCAGGAGCAUUAGUGAGCCUGAAAGGCAUCACCACAAACUCAUAGUGGCCAUAACGCGUCCGAAAUGCAGUCUUCUGCACAUUCUCCUCUCUGACCCUCAUCUGAUGAUACCCUGAACGCAAAUCAAUCUUGGAGAACCAAGAUGUUCCAUGAAGUUGGUCAAAGAGGUCAUCAAUCCUCGGGAGUGGGUAGCGGUUCUUCACCGUUACCUUGUUCGGCUCCCGGUAAUCUAUACACAUCCGAUGCGCCCCUCCUUCUUUCUCACAAAAAGAAUCGGGGCUCCCCAGGGUGAACUGCUCGGUCUAAUGAAACCCUUGUCUAACAGCUCCUGCAGCUGUGUAGACAACUCCUGCAUCUCAGGAGGAGCCAACCGAUACGGUGCCUUGGCUAUCGGAGUCGCACCAGGAACUAGUUCGAUCCUGAAUUCCACUUGUCGUUCCAGAGGUAUCCCAGGCAACUCCUCGGGGAAUUCAUCCGCGAACUCCCGUACCACAGGUACAUCAUCCACCGCCGCCCUACCCGUUUCCCGGAUAUCCAUAAUAUACGCGACAUAACCUGCGCAACCCUGCUGAAGGUAACGCCUAGCUCUCGCGGCUGAACAUAAAGUUGGUCCUCGUUGUGGCCUCUCGCCCUGAAUCACCAGCUCUCCGCCACUUGGGGUCCUGACCCGCACCAACUACUACGCGCAGUCGAUCACUGCCCCAUUAGGGUUGAGCCAAUCCAUGCCUAUAAUCACCGUGUUCCCACGCAAUGGAAUGGGAACCAAGUCUACCAGGUAGCGCUCCUAAAAUACCUCAGCACACAAUCUCGAAAUACCGUCGAUGCCCGCAUCGAACAGUCGUCUGCAAUCUCUACCUCUAGAGGGCAAUCCAACAUGCCCGAAGACUCGGAAAAUCUCUUGCUAAGCGCAAGAGACACAAAUGACCGGGUAGCGCCCGAGUCAAACAAUACCAGAACCGAGAUGCCGUUCACAUGGAACGAUCCUGAACAGAGCACAUAUCAAUAACACAAUAACAACAAAAAGAAGAUCAGCGGGAAAGAAUCAUACUCGUCACCACACCUGGUGCAGCGCGCUCCUCCUCGGCUAUCAGCUGAAAUGCUUGGCUCCGCACCACUGGAACCUCUACCUUGACCUUCCGGCUAUCUGUAACCUGCGCCGUCGCUGAGACCGGCGCUGCCGCUGGCACUGCUGCUGACGCUGCUGUCAAUCUCGGGCAAUUGGCCCUUUUGUGGCCCCUCUGAUUGCAAUGGAAGCAAAUCAGGUCUGUCAUCUGUACCGCAGGGGCGGGGGCAGCACAAUACCUGCCAAAAUUCCCCACUUUGCCACACUUAUAGAAGCCCGAACCCGGCCCAGUGCGACAAGCUCCCUCGUGUGACCGACCGCAUUUCCCACAGCGGUCCCUUCCUGCCUGGCCUUUCGGCCUACCAUCAGAUCCCUUAGGCUUCAUCCCCAAAGCCUCAAUCGUCAGCCCCUCCACUGCCUUCCUCUUCUAGACAUGCUCCAGAUCAGUCUCCCUCUCCCUAGACCUGGCAAUCAUGGAAUCCAAAGUAGGGCAACCUCGCCCUAACACAUCGGGGUCCUGCACCUCUUCCCAUAUAACAUCUCGAAGGGAGGACGGUCGAUACUCGCAUGAUAGCUGUUAUUAUACGAGAACUCCGCCAAUGGGAGGUAGGUAUCCCAACUACCUCCGAAAUCUAAAACGCAUGCCCGCAGCAUAUCCUCCAGAGUCUGGAUGGUCCGCUCGCUCUAGCCAUCUGUCUGCGGGUGAAAAGCGGUGCUAAAAUGCAGACGAGUACCCAGUUCGUCAUGAAACCUCUUCCAAAACCUGGAAGUAAACUGCACGUCUCUGUCUGAAAUUACCAAAACUGGCACUCCGUGCCGCGCCACCACCUCCCUAAUAUAGAUAUCGGCCAAGUUCUCGGCCGAGAUGCUCUCCUGAAUCGGAAUAAAGUGGGCGCUCUUGGUCAAUCGAUCCACGAUGACCCAUAUCGAAUCCAUCCCCCGCGCGAUCCUGGGAAGCUUCGUCAUAAAAUCCAUCAUAAUAUCCUCCCAUUUCCACAGUGGGAUAUCCAACGGCUGCAUCUUGUCGUGAGGUCUCUGAUGCUCGGCCUUGACCUUCCUGUAGGUCAAGCACCGCUCCACGUACCAUGCCACAUCCAGCUUCAUGUAGGGCCACCA